UCCCUGGUGGCUCAGAGGGUAAAGCAUCUGCCUGCAAUGCAGGAGACCCGGGUUGGAUCCCUGGCCAGGUUA
rnacentral:tRNA from 1 species